CACACACAUGAAGUGUGGUGUGAGGAUAAUGAGUAAAAUUUUUUAUUUCGAAUAUUCAUAUCCAAAUAUGAUGGUGUGUGGUGUAUGUUAACGUAAAUAAAGAUGUCAGCAUGCUUUGAUAUGUUCCUUAUUUGAAAUUGUCAAAGUAAGUUACUUGGUUUUUGCUUCU